rnacentral:rRNA from 1 species
CUGCAACUCGCCUGUAUGAAGUCGGAAUUGCUAGUAAUCGUGGAUCAGCAUGCCACGGUGAAUACGUUCCCGGGCCUUGUACACACCGCCCGUCACACCNUGAGAGCCGGGAACACCCGAAGUCCGUAGUCUAACCUAUAUGGAGGACGCGGCCGAAGGUGGGUCCGGUAAUUGGGGUGAAGUCGUAACAAGGUAAC